GACGAAGGUGGCUAGCGUUGCUCGGAUUUACCGGGCAUAAAGCGCGCGUAGGUGGUCCUGUAAGCGGGGGAUGAAAGCCCAUGGCUCACCCAUGGAACUGUCCCUCGGACUGCAGGGCUGGAGGGCGGGAGGGGAGAAUGGAAUUCCCGGUGUAGCGGUGAAAUGCGUAGAUAUCUGGAGGAACACCGGUGGCGAAGGCGACAUCCUGGACCGGUAUUGACGCUGAGGCGCGAAAGCCAGGGGAGCAAACGGG
rnacentral:rRNA from 1 species